CAGUAACACGUGGACAACCUACCCUCCGGACGGGUAUAAACCCGGGAAACUGGGUAUAAUCCCCGAUAGAUCUCGGUCGCUGGAAAGCCCCGAGAUCGAAAGCUCCGGCGCCAGAGGAUGGGUCUGCGGCCUAUCAGGUAGUAGUGGGUGUAGCGUACCUACUAGCCUACGACGGGUACGGGUUGUGAGAGCAAGAGCCCGGAGAUGGAUUCUGAGACACGAAUCCAGGCCCUACGGGGUGCAGCAGGCGCGAAAACUUUACAAUGCCGGCAACGGCGAUAAGGGGACCUCGAGUGCCAGGUUACAAAUCUGGCUGUCGUGAUGCCUAAAAAGCAUUGCAUAGCAAGGGCCGG
rnacentral:rRNA from 1 species